rnacentral:rRNA from 1 species
GAUGAGUGAGAGAUAUCAAGACUGCAGUCGACGAUUCCUGCUCCGUUCGGGGAGUGCGGGUGUGGCGCACGGGUGAGUAACACGUUGGUAAUCGACCCUCGAGUGGGGAAUAACGGUCGGAAACGACUGCUAAUACCGCAUAAUGCAGCGGCACCUUAUGGUGACAGUUGUUAAAGGAGUAAUCCGCUUGGGGAGGAGCUUGCGGCAGAUUAGCUUGUUGGUAAGGUAACGGCUUACCAAGGCUACGAUCUGUAUCCGGCCUGAGAGGGCGGUCGGACACACUGACACUGAAUAACGGGUCAGACUCCUACGGGAGGCAGCAGUCGGGAAUUUUGGGCAAUGGGCGAAGGCCUGAGCCUGCAACGCCGCGUGAAGGAUGAAGUAUUUCGGUAUGUAAACUUCGAAAGAAUGGGAAGAAUAAAUGACGGUACCAUUUAUAAGCUCCGGCUAACUACGUGCCAGCAGCCGCGUGUACAUACGAAGGGAACCAAGUCGUUGUUCGGAAUCUUACUGGGAGUAAACGGCCGCGAUAGGCGGCCGCGUUAAGUCAGCUGUGAAAUCUACUGAGCUCAACUCAGAACGGCCAGCUGAUAAUGAUGUACUAGAGUGCAGAAGGGGCAACCGGAAUUCUUGGUGUAGCGGUGAAAUGCGUAGAUAUCAAGAGGAACACCUGAGACGAAGGCGGGUUGCUGGGCUGACACUGACGCUGAGGCGCGAAAGCCCAGGGGAGCAAACGGGAUUAGAUACCCCGGUAGUCCUGGCCCUAAACGAUGAAUACUUGGUGUUUGGAUUCUCAAUGAUCCCGAGUGCCGUAGCUAACGUGGUAAGUAUUCCGCCUGGGGAGUACGCUCGCAAGAGUGAAACUCAAAGGAAUUUGACGUGGCUACCCGCCACCAAGCCGGUUGGACCAUGUGCGUUUUAAUUCCAACGCAACCGCGAAGAAUCCUUUACCUGGUACUUAGUAAUGCCAGGGAAGGGUUGGGGUAACUGCCAACAGCCGGGUUUAACCGACCCGGAAGCCAAGGGUGCUGGCAUGCGCUGUCGUCAGCUCGAAUGUCGUGAGAUGUUGGGUUAAGUCCCGCAACGAGCGCAACCCUUAUCAACAGUUGCCAUCAUUAAGUUGGGAACUCUGUUGAGACUGCCGUUGAUAAAACGGAGGAAGGUGGGGAUGAUGUCAAGUCAUCAUGGCCUUUAUGUUCAGGGCUACACACGUGCUACAAUGGGCGGUACAAAACGUUGCGAUCCCGGGAGGGGGAGGUAAUCGCGAAAACCGUUUUCAGUUCGGAUUGAAGUCUGCAACUCGACUUCAUGAAGUUGGAAUCGCUAGUAAUCGCAGAUCAGCAUGCUGCGGUGAAUACGUUCCCGGGUCUUGUACACACCGCCCGUCACAUCACGAAAGUAGGUUGUCCUAGAAGUAGCUGGGCUAACCCGUCAAGGGAGACGGGUUACCCCGGUAUGAUGAUGACGGGGGAAGUCGCGACGAACAAGUCGGGAA